UCCAAAGGAAGAGGUAAAACUGUCACCAUUUGUAGAGGACAUGAUUAUAUAGAAAACCUUAAAGACUCCACCAAAAAACUGUUAGAAUAAGCAAAUUCAGUAAAGUUGCAAGGUACAAAAUUAAUAUACAAAAAUCUCUUGCAUUUUGUACACUAACAGUGAACUAUCAGAGAAAUUAAGAGAGCAAUCCCAUUUACACUUGCAUCAAAAAAAUAAAAUACCUAGUAAUAAAUUUAACCAAGGAGGUAAAAGGACCUGUACACUGAAAUUAUAAGACAUUGAUUUGUAGUUCCUAUCGUGGCUCAGUGGUUAACAAAUCCGACUAGCAUCCAUGAGGAUGCGGAUCCUUAACCCACUGAGCAAGGCCAGGGAUUGAACCUGCAACCUCAUGGUUCCCAGUUGGAUUUGUUAACCACUGUGCCACGACAGGAACUCCAGUGUAGAUUCAUUUUAAUCCCCAUCAUUCCAAUGACUUUUUUCAUAGAAGUAGAGCAGAUAAUCCUGAAAUUUUAAUGGAAGGAACCAUAAAAUAUCCCAAAUAGUUAUAGCAAUCUUCAGAAUGAACACAGCUGGAGACGUCACAACUUCCUGGUUUCAAAAUAUAUUACAAAGCUAUUAUAACCAAAACAGCGUGGUAUUAACAUUAAAGUGGACUCAUAAAUCAGUGGAACAGGUAGAGAGCCCUAGGAGUUCCCUCUGUGGCUCAGAAGGUUAAAUCCAGCCUCGUCUGUGGUGGUGCAGGUUCAGUCCCCAGCCCAGGGCAGUGGAUUAAGGAUCCAGCUGGACCACUGACUUGCACCAUAUACAAAAUUUAACUCAAAAUGGAUUAAAAACUUGAAUGUAAGGCCAGAAACCAUAAAACUCUUAGAAGAAAACAUAGGCAGUAAGCUACUUGACACUGGAGAUUUUUUUUUGGAUCUGAUUCCACAGAUGAUGGCAACAAAAGCAAAUAUUUUAAAAAAGGAACUACAUUAAACUGAAAAGGUUCUACACAGGAAAGGUUAACAAAAGAUAACCUAUUGAAUGAGAGAAGAUAUUUGCAAAUCAUAUACAUUAAACUGAAAAGAUUCUACACAGGAAAGGUUAGCAAAAGAUAACCUAUUGGAUGGGAGAAGAUAUUUGCAAAUCAUAUGCAUGAUAAGGACUCUGACAUAUAUGUAAAGAACUCAUAUAAUUCAAUAACAAAAAACUCAACCAAUCUGAUUGAAAAGUGGGCAGAGGGCGGAGUUCCUAUUGUGGCUCAAUGGGUUAAGAACCUUAUUAGAAUCCAUGAGGAUGCUAGUUUGAUCCUUUGCCUCACUCAGUAGAUUAAGGAUCUGGCAUUGCCACAAGCUGUGGUGCAGGUCACAGAUGUGGCUUGAAUCCGCAUUGCUGUGGCUGUGGCACAGGCCAGCAGCUGCAGCUCCGAUUUGACCUCUAGCCUGGGAACUUCCAUAUGCCUCAGGUGUGGCCCUAAAAAGAAAGAAAAAAUAGAGGUUAUGGGCAGUCUUGGUGAAUCUUAUUCGAAAGGUGUUUGUGUCAAUAAGCUGCCAUCUGUUGGUAUUAUAAAUUGUGAUUCCUGCUUUAUAGGUGCCUUUUAGAUUGGCCUCAAAACUUAAACCAGGAUAGAAUGAAUGGGAGCACUUGGUUGAAAAGAUGGGAAUUUUAUAAAGAGUUCUUACCUGUGUCAGGACAUCACUGAUAAGGAAUUUCUGUCAUAUUUGGAAGCCUCUUGAGUAUGAAGAUUAAGAAAAUGGUUGAAGAAGAACUAAAAAACCAGAGAUUCUUUUCUUGAGUCAGUUGUUUUGUUGUUGGGAACUCUUUUAUCACAGAAAGUAAUAAAAAAGUUGUUUGGGAAGGUCAUACUCAUUAUUUUUAAAGCAAAAUAAAUGAAAGAUGAUAUGAACUUGGCACUUGACAUGCAUUUGGAAUUUGAUGUGUGUAGUUAUUUUCUGUGGGAAAGAACUUUGAAUAUUGUCUUUCCCGUGGCUAAUGUACACAUAGCGGAAAAGCUAUUUUUCAUUUUAUUUAAAUGAAAAAUGAAAAAAUGUAAUUAAAUCUAAAUUUUAUUUCAUAUAUACAUAAAAUGUAACAAAAGUGUGUAACUAUGACAAUUAUUUUUAGUAGGUUUUUUUUUUUUUUUUUUUUUUUGAGAGGGAGAGGGUAGUUUGUUCAUUCCUUUUUUUCCCUCUUCUAUCCACAUCUCUGCCCUGCCAGGUCCUUCUAACCUAUGUUAGUAAUUUAGGUUAUAUUAUUCCAUAUUUAUCCCCAUGUUGUCAUGUUCUCAUACAAAUGUGAAUUUAUAGUACAUUAUAUCUACAUACAAGUGUGUAUGUGUGUGUGUAUAUAUGGUGUUUUGCUCAUUUCCUGUACUUUAAAAUCUUACGUCUUACUCAAAAAUAAGUUCUUUACCUUAUAGAAAUCUGUUAAAUGGCAAAACUCUUAUUUAUUCUUUUUAAUGACUGUAUAGUUGUAUUAGUUGACCAAGGCUGCCAUAGUGAAGUACCAUAUAGUAGGUGGCUUAAAAAAAAAGAAAUUUAUUUUAUUACAGCUCUGGAGGCUGGAAGUCUAAGAUCCUGGUGUUGGCUGGGUGGUAUUUCUUCUGAAGCCUCUCCUUGGUUUAUCAAUGGUUAUUUUCUCUGUGUAUGUCUGUAUCCAAACUUCCUCCUCAUAUAAGAACACCAGUCAGGAGUUCCCAUUGUGACUUGGUGGGUUAAGAACUCGACUGGUAUCCAUGGGGAUGUAGGUUUCAUCCCAGGCCUUGCUCAGUGGGUUAACGAUCCAGUGUUGCCUCAGACUACAGUGUAGGUUGCAGAUGUGGCUUGAAUCUGACUUUGCUGUGGCUGUGAUGUAGGCUGGCAGCUCCGAUUUGAGCCCUAGUCUGGGAAUUUGCACGUGCCACAGGUAUGGCUCUAAAAAAAAAGAACCCCGGAGUUCCCGUCGUGGCGCAGUGGUUAACGAAUCCGACUAGGAACCAUGAGGUUGCGGGUUCGGUCCCUGCCCUUGCUCAGUGGGUUAAGGAUCCGGCGUUGCUGUGAGCUGUGGUGUAGGUUGCAGACGCGGCUCGGAUCCCGCAUUGCUGUGGCUCUGGCGUAGGCCGGUGGCUACAGCUCCGAUUAGACCCCUAGCCUGGGAACCUCCAUAUGCCGUGGGAG
ensembl:lncRNA